rnacentral:rRNA from 1 species
UACGAAGGGUGCAAGCGUUACUCGGAAUCACUGGGCGUAAAGCGUGCGCAGGCGGUUCGUUAAGACAGAUGUGAAAUCCCCGGGCUUAACCUGGGAACUGCAUUUGUGACUGGCGAGCUAGAGUAUGGCAGAGGGGGGUAGAAUUCCACGUGUAGCAGUGAAAUGCGUAGAGAUGUGGAGGAAUACCGAUGGCGAAGGCAGCCCCCUGGGCCAAUACUGACGCUCAUGCACGAAAGCGUGGGGAGCAAACAGG